rnacentral:rRNA from 1 species
GAUGAACGCUGGCGGCGUGCCUAAUACAUGCAAGUCGAGCGAACAGACGAGGAGCUUGCUCCUCUGACGUUAGCGGCGGACGGGUGAGUAACACGUGGAUAACCUACCUAUAAGACUGGGAUAACUUCGGGAAACCGGAGCUAAUACCGGAUAAUAUAUUGAACCGCAUGGUUCAAUAGUGAAAGACGGUUUUGCUGUCACUUAUAGAUGGAUCCGCGCCGCAUUAGCUAGUUGGUAAGGUACCGGCUUACCAAGGCAACGAUGCGUAGCCGACCUGCGAGGGUGAUCGGCCACACUGGAACUGGGACACGGUCCAGACUCCUACGGGAGGCAGCAGUAGGGAACCUUCCGCAAUGGGCGAAAGCCUGACGGAGCAACGCCGCGUGAGUGAUGAAGGUCUUCGGAUCGUAAAACUCUGUUAUUAGGUAAGAACAAAUGUGUAAGUAACUAUGCACGUCUUGACGGUACCUAAUCAGAAAGCCACGGCUAACUACGUG